GAUGAAGAACGCAGCGAAAUGCGAUAAGUAAUGUGAAUUGCAGAAUUCAGUGAAUCAUCGAAUCUUUGAACGCACAUUGCGCCCGCCAGUAUUCUGGCGGGCAUGCCUGUCUGAGCGUCAUUUCAACCCUCAUGCCCCUAGGGCGUGGUGUUGGGGAUCGGCCAAAGCCCGCGAGGGACGGCCGGCCCCUAAAUCUAGUGGCGGACCCGUCGUGGCCUCCUCUGCGAAGUAGUGAUAUUCCGCAUCGGAGAGCGAUGAGCCCCUGCCGUUAAACCCCCAACUUUCCAAGGUUGACCUCAGAUCAGGUAGGAAUACCCGCUGAACUUAAGCAUAUCAAUAAGGAGGA
rnacentral:misc_RNA from 1 species